AUUAAUAUUACAGUGCCAGUCAUUGGGACUGAUUCAGUAAGACUCCCCAGCACAUCUAGUUUACCUCAGAGUGACGGACUCGCAGGACCAGCCACUGGGACUGAUACCUUUAUGACUUCUGGCAUCCCUCUUGCAUCUGAGGACGAUGGAUUUGCAGGACCAGCCGUUGUGCCUGAUGCCACUACAGUUUCUGGGACUGAUAGUUUGCCUGAG